rnacentral:rRNA from 1 species
UACGUAGGGUGCAAGCGUUGUCCGGAAUUAUUGGGCGUAAAGAGCUUGUAGGCGGUUUGUCGCGUCUGCUGUGAAAUUUCGGGGCUCAACCCCGAACUUGCAGUGGGUACGGGCAGACUAGAGUGUGGUAGGGGAGACUGGAAUUCCUGGUGUAGCGGUGAAAUGCGCAGAUAUCAGGAGGAACACCGAUGGCGAAGGCAGGUCUCUGGGUCACUACUGACGCUGAGAAGCGAAAGCAUGGGGAGCGAACAGG